AAUGCGCGCGUCCUAGGGGAGUAGUCUCCCGCGAGCGCCAGCUCGCCCGGCACGCGUCAACAUACUUGCUCGGCAGAGCAUGGCGCGUGCGACCCAAGGCCCACUCAGAGGGGCCUGCGGUUUGACAAGACCUAUGACACGCACACCUUACCCGGGGCGGGAAGGCUGUACGUGUCAUAGCCGUGUCGACCCGCCCCUUUAGG
rnacentral:misc_RNA from 1 species